rnacentral:rRNA from 1 species
GACGAACGCUGGCGGCGUGCUUAACACAUGCAAGUCGAACGAUGAACCGGUUUCGGCCGGGGAUUAGUGGCGAACGGGUGAGUAACACGUGGGCAAUCUGCCCUGCACUCUGGGAUAAGCCCGGGAAACUGGGUCUAAUACCGGAUACGACACUCCGAGGCAUCUUGGGGUGUGGAAAGUUCCGGCGGUGCAGGAUGAGCCCGCGGCCUAUCAGCUUGUUGGUGGGGUAAUGGCCUACCAAGGCGACGACGGGUAGCCGGCCUGAGAGGGUGACCGGCCACACUGGGACUGAGACACGGCCCAGACUCCUACGGGAGGCAGCAGUGGGGAAUAUUGCACAAUGGGCGAAAGCCUGAUGCAGCGACGCCGCGUGAGGGAUGACGGCCUUCGGGUUGUAAACCUCUUUCAGCAGGGAAGAAGCGAAAGUGACGGUACCUGCAGAAGAAGCACCGGCUAACUACGU